CACUGGUCUGAGAACCAUGAAAAUUUGAUUUGUAUUCAUUAUUUUUCAUUUUGGGUAAGACUUCACGGUGUCCUUCCUCCUCUGCACACGCGGUGUCCACCAUGAUGUUUUAAUUUUACACGUCCAACAACUUGUUAAUGUGCCUGCGUGUUGAAGAGUCUCAGGUCAGAUUUCCUGUUAGUUUGUUUCGACAUCAGGAAGUUUCAGAAAAACUCCCAACCACAAACAGCUGGUUUUGACUCCCAGCAGGAAGCAGGGAUUUCCCAGUCUCUACUUGCACUUGAAUGCAGCAUCAGUUUUUAAACCUGGUUGCCUUGUGGUUGGCUGCCUGUGGUCAGGUGAGAUGUGUGUUAAAGGGUCAGCUGAUCCAGUGGAGCUGUUUGCUUGUUGGUGUUUAGCAUGUUGGUUCUGCACUCUCGUCAGUAACAGCAGCAGCUCUGAGCAGUCUAGCCAGUGAGCGACGAGGGAGUCCAGCGCCGCCUUUGAUUUUAAAUGGUCACUAAGAAGAUUUCCUAACAUCUGAUCUUUCACGCUGAAUCUUCAGGCUGAACACACUGUACUGGAUCAUCGUCAUCAUCCACCGUGACCUCUCCUGUUAUCCAGCACGCACCGGCCGCUGCCUCGGCUUGCCUCAGCAGCCUGACUCCCGCUGCUGGAUGACAGCGACGAAGGAGGAGCUCCAGGAAGAGCUGGAGUAUAAAUAGAGGGAUGAAGAGGAAGAAUGGAGGGAUAAGGCAACUGACGGGGGAGGUACCCACACACAUACAUGCAUUACCUCUUGGCAUGUUUUUGCAUCCAAUCAAGGCGAUGCCAAGAAAUGAUGACCGACCAAUCAGGAGACGGUAAACACACUGAGAGAAAUUGUAAACAAAUCAACAGAAACUGGAGGAAAUGAGGAAAGACACUAAAUGAGCUGACAAAACAACGACAGAGGGAUAAAUUCAGAGGAACAAGUAUUUCUCCUUUCUUUCCUCCUCUCUCCCUGGUUUCCUGUCGCUUCCUCCUCUGUCUCCCUCCUUUCCUCUCUGUGUUUCUCAGAUUUCCUGCCUGUGUUCGCUCACAUGUAUAGUUGUGUUCAUGUUGUGUUUGUCUGUGCUGCUCAGGAGUUAGUUAACUGUAUAAACCUCCAGCUGAGGUCAGCCAGUUCAUAUAUAAAUGCUCCUACUUGUCGUGUUGUUGUUUCUAUAAAAAGCUGCUCCAAGGAAGAUAUCCAUUUCCUGUCAGCGCAUAUCCUCUUCCUGUCGGUGAGAUUUCACUUCCUGUUGUCUCAAAGGUCAGCUGAUGUGUAGCCGACACACCGCUGCUGCAUCUAAAUGCAGUCAGUUUCCAAUUUGAUCUGGAAACAUUGCACGUAUACUCGAUUCCCACACCUAAUCUGGUAUUUCUAAAAGGAUUAUGUGCCGUCAGCUAUUGUACACGUUUUUCUAGAGCACUCUGCAGGUGAGAUAGUCGAGCUGAAAUGAUACAGGUGGCUACAGAUACAGAAUCAAAUAAUAAAACAUCUUGGCUUGACAGUGUUGGCUAAAUCACUGGUUGUGUAUCGUUUUUUAAAGUGUUAUUUGUUCUUGAUCGCAGACAGCAGAGAGAUGACUGGGAUUGUAUGAAUAUUUUUGCAGUUUCCACAUAGAUGUAUAAUACAAGUUCAGUAGGAGGCGCAUUUAUACAUUUGAAGUACUUUUGUUUGCUUCAUUUGAUCAUUUUCUCAUCAUGCUAUAAAUAGCCGCAGUUGUGUGCAAUCGUUGACUCGACACAGACAGACAGCUGGUGAGAUCCAGCUUCUUCUUUGCGGUUCUUUUUAAGGUGGAGCAGGCAGAAGUAUAGUAGUGGUGUAGUAGUUCUACAUCCAGUUAUCUGUGGGAGUGGAAAUCAGGCUUGUGCACUUGCACACGAUUUCACAAUGACUGAGGUUGAUUUAAAAAAAAAAAGGAUCUAUGUGUACACACGUCUUUAUAAAUCGAAUGAACAGUGUAAGCAUAUCUCUGUCGUUUGGAGUGUGUGACUUUCCCAUUCUAGUUUUGAUAUUGCCAAUAACAACAUAGCAUGAAUGACAAAUAUUGUGCUCUACGACACGCGCUCUCACAUCAGUGGACGUCCAGCAGAAGGCGUGUUGCGUCAGCUGAAGUCCCUGUCUAAUAAUCUGCGUGCUACUGCUGCUGUUUCUGUGAGUCUGGAAGUGACCCAAAUAAACCUGCAGUGUGUUCAGGUUCUGCGUGUCUCAUCACGCCUCAGCUCCUCUCAGCUAUGUGGCCCUGCCGGCCUCCACCUGAGCCCUGCUGCAGUCACAGACCUGGAGCUCGAACACGCGGAGAUCAGGGACGACUGCAGACCUGCAGACCAGCAGCGUAGUUUCAGUGAGCACUGUGGACCCUAUGUGGUAUAUUGGUACAGUGAUAAGACAACAACAUUACAACUAAACAUCCAAUAACAAUAAUCCUGUGUGUCAAACCAUGGAAACAACAUAUCGAAGUGGAACAGUAAAUAUGUCAGUGUGUGGUUUUAGGGGGAGUUACUUUAUGUGCUGGAAUUGCCAGUACAGGCACGAUGGUACCAAAGUGACGUCAGGAAGCUGCCCACAGUCCACACGAAAUACUUCCAGCAUGGAGUUCCCGCUAAAACCACAAACUGUGGUUUUUACAUUUACAGGAUACAGCGUGUUAAUUAGGGAGCUUUAGAGGUGCUGGUAGGUGUUUGUUUGAACUUUGGACAGUCAGGCUAGCUUUUUCCCUCUGCUUACAGCCAUUAUGCUAAGCUAAGCUAACAUGUGACCUGACUCCAGCUCUGUACUGAACACACAGACACGAGAUUGAUAUCCAUCAUCACGAUUUAUUUCCAACAAUAUUGAGUAAGUAAUAUUACGUUAGCCUGUGUCUUCAGUUGCAGUGAGCCAUCACAUAAUAUUUGUUUUAUUCGUACUUGGUAAAGCAGCUGUCAGUGAGUCAGUCAGCUGUAAUUUAAUGAAGUUGUCAGUUGCAUUUCUUAUUUCAUACCGUGCUGAAAUAAAUGCUAACAGGAGAAAACAUACAGAAGUCUCGUCUCACAUUAGUUGUGUAGCUGCAGAGUGUGAGUGAAAGUGUGAGCUCAUACACUCUGCCAUGUGUUUGGCCUCGGCCUGCUCCCCUCCUGCCGGGUGACUGUGCAGCUCCGACAGGACCGGCCGACAUUCCUCAGUGUUAGUCAGUGUCUUUAUUGUCACUCUGUGAUGCAAAGUGACAACUCCAUCACUGUCAAUGAUUUUCUACCAGAGCUGAGUCCAGGGGACAACUUCCCUAAAUUGAACUAGAGGGACAGCAGGGAGGUGAAUUCUUCUGUCUCUUUAUAUUUCCCCGCUGGACCAGAUUGUUUUGUGUCCCUUUACAUCGGAGCAGCAGUCCGCAGCACUACGGCUGUGUCUAUACUCCGCCACCAGUCUCAAUCAUGGAGGAACGCUGUAGACUGAUGUGUAAGUUAAUGUGUAUAGACUGUAAACUGAGAGCGAGCGUUGUGUCUGUGCAUCCAUUUAGUAACAUUCAAUCAAAGUGAAAGUUUCUGUAUAUUACAGUAUAGUAUAAUGCAAAUAAUAAUAAAUUUGGGUCAGAGCUACAGUGGCCGAGACAGCUCAACACACUGCAACAGACCUGAGUUACAACACAGGCAAACGUCUCCGGGGAACACUAAAAUCUAGUAAUUAUUAAGAAGGCCUUGGUGUUCUUGUCUGUUCUUGUGAAAAACCUUAAAUCACUAACCGAGAAAAAUGCCCAGAAGUAUUCCCGCUCCGCCCAUUUUACCCAGAAUGCCUUGCGAGCAGUCUUGUGUGUGAAGAUGGCAGAUGAUAUGAGCCAGACUCACAGCAGGUGUAUCAGUCCAUCACAUCUCAUGCUAAACACGUUUGAAAGCGCCAAACUUCAAGUUCAAACUUGGUGCGUUUGUACUGAGAAAUGAUUCUGUUCAAACAUGGUCCUGAUCUUUCUGUGGUCGAGAACAGGCAGAGGUUUGGUUUCACAGGUGGGGAGACACAAUUAAGUCAAAAUGAUACACACUUGCUUUGCUUCUGCAUGUUUGUUUUACUGGUGAAUUUUUGUUAAAUUUGUAUUAGUUAUAUUUUAAUCUAUCUAGCAAAUAAGAAAUGAUGAUGAAAGUGGUUGACGCAUGUAAACCUCUGCUGUAUUAUUGAUGCACUAACCCUGCUUAAAAAUCAUCUUCAGUUUCCUCCAUAGAGAUGUUUUCACUACAAGGAGCUCCGUGCUUUACUGCCUUAUUUUGGAUCGAUCUUCUAUUCAAGCCUCUUUUUAGGAGAAUAACUAAAAAUACAGAUUAAAUUAUGUUUAACCCUGAAAAAUGUCUGCAGGCUUCAUAUGAUGCCAUCAACUUCAACAAACAGCCCGUAUGUAGCCUGAGAGGACGACCGCAGGGGAAAACGAGUCAGCGGACCCCUCGCUGCUGCUCGUUAUGCUUAUCACUCUGAACACGUAAUAACUGAAAUCAACUCGACAUUUUUGCCAACUCAUCUGGACUAUGAUGGCUGGACAGUCAGAGAACAAUGUUCAGAGAGACUAAAGUAAGAAAAUCAACCUGAGACCUGAACUGAGGGGGAAAUUACGCCCUUGAUUAAAGGGACCACCUGUUACCAUGUGACCAAAAUGUAAUACUCAGGUCACAUAAUAACAACUAAACCAAGCAACUGCAUCCGCCGAGGAAAGAACUGAAAUAAAGAUCUGGAUGAAAGCUUGAGAAACACCCCUGUACUGUCAAAUUGCUGUUUCCAAGGUUGAGAAGAUCAUCCGUCGUUUUCACAACAGGCUCAAGUUUGACCUUAAAAACUGUCACAAACGUAUCGUCAGCUGUAGGAAACGAUGUGCAUGUGACAUCCAAAACUGCAAAGGAGACACAUAUAAUUUAGUAACAAAUAUUUAUAUGUAAGUUUAAAAAAAGCUAGAGAAGAAUUGAUCAUACUGUGUUUUAGUUUAGCAGGACAGUAAUAAAAACAGCUUCUUCUACCUACGGGUGCUGGGUAAAGUUAAUCCAGCGCUAUAUUAACCCACAGAGUUUUGAGUAUUUCCUUGUUUAUGUUAUGUUGUUAUGAGUAAGUGUUGUUAUAGUGGUUCAAAUGUUUUCUUCAUUUCUUUGUUUCGUCUGUUUACUUGAGUUUUCACGUGUUGCAAUGUGUUAAGCUCUCUUGGCCAUCGUACAUGUCAAUAAA